rnacentral:rRNA from 1 species
GUGCCAGCCGCCGCGGUAAUACCGGCAGCCCGAGUGAUGGCCGAUCUUAUUGGGCCUAAAGCGUCCGUAGCUGGCCACGCAAGUCCAUCGGGAAAUCCACCUGCUCAACAGGUGGGCGCCCGGUAGAAACUGCGUGGCUUGGGACCGGAAGGCGCGACGGGUACGUUCGGGGUAGGAGUGAAAUCCUAUAAUCCCGCACGGACCACCGAUGGCGAAAGCACUUCGAGAAAACGGAUCCGACAGUGAGGGACGAAAGCCAGGGUCUCCAACCGGAUUAGAUACCCGGGUAGUCC